AAAAAAAUCAUGAGAUCAGCAGAUUGGUCUUCUCGCCUGAGUGUCGCCAUGAAGGUAGCGCCCCUUCCGGCACCCGCGGAGAAUAACGUCCCGGAGGCGGGGCUGAGUCUGUGAGCUGCGUGCGGGCAGAGAGCAAGUUAAACCGGAAGCUUCUGAGUGAAGUCGGAGUGGGACCGGGAGCUGUGCGGGAGGCCGAAAGCUGAAGCUUACCAUCGAUGGAGCUGGAGGCCUCCUCAGAUUGACCUAGGGCCCUACCAAGUGUGGAUUUACAUCAGAGUCGAUCCCUUGCCUGGGAUCACUCCAACCGCGGCCUGCGGACUUUACAUCGGGAGCUUGCAGUCUUGGAAGAGGCCGUGGAUGUUGGGAGCUCCAACGUCACGGAAGGUUUGACCAGCCCCAACGAGGGGUUUGAUCGUCCGGCCCAGGGGAGCCGACAUCCCCCCCAAUGCAGGAGCUAAUCGCCUCAAUGCAAAGGGCCCGCCGCCGGCUACGGGAGUCAAGAUCAUCCCAUCAAUGGAGGGCUUGAGGCCCUCGAUCGCGGGAGAGCAAAGGGAAGACAUUUUUUCGCCUUCCAUCACAGUGAGAAAUGUGGAGGGGUCACUGUGGUGGAUAUUUAUGUUAAAAUGUGUUUUGUGUGUUCCGUUGCUUUUUAUUUGUAUGACUGACUCGGCAAAUGAAAUUCCUCGUAUAUUGCAAGACAUACUUGGCUAAUAAAGUAUUAAUGU